AUGGUGCUGGCGGAGAGCAUUGGCAAGUACAGGGUCGGCCGGACCAUCGGCGAGGGCGCCUUCGCCAAGGUCCGGCUCGCCGUCGAUGCCGAGACGGGCGGCUGCGUCGCAGUCAAGGUCAUCGACAGGAGCACGGUGCUCAGAAACAACCUCAUGUAUCAGGUGAAGAGAGAGAUCGGCGCGAUGAGGCUUCUCAAUCACCCCAACAUAGUCAAGAUACACGAGGUGAUCGCGACGAAGACGAAGAUAUGUCUUGUGAUGGAGUAUGUUCCGGGAGGGCAGCUCUCUGACAAGCUAAGUUACCUCAAGAGAUUGGAGGAGAGGGAAGCAAAGAAGUACUUCUACCAGCUGAUUGAUGCUGUGGACUAUUGCCACCGGAGAGGCGUCUUUCACAGGGAUCUCAAGCCUGAAAACUUGUUGCUAGAUAAUCAGGGCAAUCUCAAGGUAUCCGAUUUUGGCCUCAGCGUGCUAAGGAAGCCAGGGCAGUUGCUAUCCACAUCUUGCGGCUCUCCAUGCUACGUGGCUCCUGAGGUGAUUCAGCACAAGACUUACGAUGGGGCGGCCGCGGACAUCUGGUCAUGCGGCGUGAUCCUGUUUGAACUCCUUGCUGGUUAUCUGCCAUUCCAGGACUGCAGCUUGAUACACUUGUACAGAAGGAUAUCUCGAGCACAGUAUGCAUUACCGCAAUGGAUCACACUGCCUCAGAAGAAGAUUAUCUUGAGGAUACUGGAUCCGUCUCCUAUAACGAGAGCGAAGAUAAAUGAUAUCUUCGAUGACGAGUGGUUAAAAGAGGGCUACAAUCCAUCAGUAAGGAGAACUGAGAGUGAUGAUUGUGUUGAUCUUGAUGAGGCUGGCACAGACAGUGAUGGCAGUCACAGCACAGAGGUAAGGGAGGCUGGGGGAGCGAAUCCGGAGCCUGAGCAGUUCAUCAACGCGUUCCGGUUGAUAGCGACGUGCAGAGAUCUCGACUUGUCAGGACUCUUCCAGGAGCAGAAAACAAAGCUCGGCUCGCCGCAUUCGGUGCAGGAAACACUGGGGAUAAUCACAGCUGCAGCCAGGGAUGUGAGCUUGUCAGCGAGGAGAAUGGGCAGCUCCAUGGUAAAGCUUCAGGACAUCAGAUUGCUAUCAAGAAGCAUGCUGGAUCUUACACUCUCGGCCGAGGUGAUCCAGGUGACACCAGCACACUGCGUCGUCGAAGUGUCUAAGUCCAGCGGUGAUCUGAGAGCAUACAAAGAGUUCUGCACAAGCCUGUGCAGAUUGCUGACCGGGCGGGUGCAGCAGAAUGGCAGCUCAUCAGAUUUGGGGACCAACAAACUCUGA
rnacentral:rRNA from 1 species